rnacentral:rRNA from 1 species
AGGACGAACGCUUGCGGCGUGCCUAAGAAAUGCAAGUCGAGCGGAGGGAGCAAUCCCUUAGCGGCGAACGGUCGCGUAACACGUAGGCAACCUGCCCGAAAGACCGGGACAACGGUUCGAAAGAGCCGCUAAUACCGGAUGUGACCAGGGAGAGACCUCUCUUUCUGUUUAAAUCACUUGUGGCUUUCGGAGGGGCCUGCGGCCUAUCAGCUAGAUGGCGGGGUAACGGCUCACCAUGGCGACGACGGGUAGCUGGUCUGAGAGGAUGGUCAGCCGGACUGGGACUGAGAGACGGCCCAGACUCCUACGGGGGGCAGCAAUUAGGAAUCUUGCGCAAUGGGGGCAACCCUGACGCAGCGACGCCGCGUGGAGGAGGACGGCCUUCGGGUUGUAAACUCCUUUGACGAGGAAGAACAAAUGACGGUACUCGUCGAAUAAGCCCGGCUAACUCCGUGCCAGCAGCCGC